UACGGAGGUGGCUAGCGUUGUUCGGAAUUACUGGGCGUAAAGGGCGCGUAGGCGGCGUCGUAAGUCAGGCGUGAAAGGCCCGGGCUCAACCCGGGAACUGCGCUUGAUACUGCGGCGCUCGAGUCCGGGAGAGGAUGGCGGAAUUCCCAGUGUAGAGGUGAAAUUCGUAGAUAUUGGGAAGAACACCGGUGGCGAAGGCGGCCAUCUGGACCGGUACUGACGCUCAUGUACGAAAGCGUGGGGAGCAAACAGG
rnacentral:rRNA from 1 species